rnacentral:rRNA from 1 species
GUGAGGAAUAUUGGACAAUGGAGGAAACUCUGAUCCAGCCAUGCCGCGUGAGUGAUGAAGGCCUUCGGGUUGUAAAGCUCUUUCGGGUGUGAAAAUGAUGAUGGUAACACCAGAAGAAGCCCCGGCUAACUCCGUGCCAGCAGCCGCGGUAAUACGGAGGGGGCGAGCGUUGUUCGGAAUCACUGGGCGUAAAGCGUGCGUAGGCGGUUAUACAAGUCAGGAGUGAAAUCCCAGGGCUCAACCUUGGAAUUGCUUUUGAGACUGUAUGACUAGAGAGCUAGAGAGGUUGGGGGAAUUCCGAGUGUAGAGGUGAAAUUCGCAGAUAUUCGGAGGAACACCAGUGGCGUAGGCGCCCAACUGGCUAGAUACUGACGCUGAGGCACGAAAGCGUGGGGAGCAAACAGGAUUAGAAACCCUUGUAGUCC